GCCACAUGUAGCUACUAUGUUGAACAGCACAUAUGUGGAACAUUUACACUGUUACAGAAAUUAAGAAAUGCCAACCUUCUGUGUUAAAGAUGACUAGUAUUUAUUAGCUUCCAUUUUUGAUUCUUAAAGGGACACAGGGCAGUUUUUUUUUUUUUUUUUUUUUGUACCUGAUUGAACUCAGGGGCACUUGACCACUGAGCAACAUCCCCAGCCCUAUUUUGUAUUUUAUUUAGAGACGGGGUCUCACUGAGUUGCUUAGUACCUUGCUUUUGCUGAGACUGGCUUUGAACUUGUGAUCCUCCUGCUUCAGCCUCCGGAGAUGCUGGGAUUACAGCAUAGGGCAGUUUUUACCAAACUCUUUUUUGCCAUAUAUGAGUAGUGAGUUAUGGAGGAUAAGUUAUAACUUCCUUCAAUUAUAAGGUAAGUUGGGGGGGCCAGCCGACAGUAUUGCUAAUGGUGGUGCCCCCAACAUAAGUUUGUUUUCUGUACUUUUUUGAAAAAGAAUAACAAAAAUACCCAAACUUAAGGUUUAUACAAGUUUCCAAAUAAGCCAUACAGAAGGGUCACAAGCUAAUUUUGAAGGAGGGAAUCUGUACUUGUCAGUGAAGUCACAAUGUUGUUAGGACUGUGAUGGAUCUCCCCAGUGGUGGGGGUUGAACCCAGGGCCUUGAGAAUGCAGGCAAGUGCUUUACCACUGAGCUAAACCUCUAGCCUUGUGAUGUUUGUUUAGUGUUUCCAUUUGGUUCAGUCAAGUUUGUUCAUCCAUAGUGUCCAAAUAAAGUUAGACUUUAGCUGGGUGUCAUGGCACUCAGUGGUAGAAUGCCCCUGGAUUCAACCCCCAAUAUUGGAAACAACAACAACAACAACAAAUAAAACAAAAACAAAAAAACUUAAAGUUAGACUUGGCUAGAGUGUAUAAUCUGAAGAACUGGU
rnacentral:lncRNA from 1 species